ensembl:rRNA 5S_rRNA 5S ribosomal RNA
CAAUGUAGAGUCUACAGCCUGACACACACAAUAUUGUCUGAUCUUGGAAGCUAAGCAGGCUAGGGCCUGGUUAGUUCUUGGAUGGGAGAAGGAAUGUAGGACCCUCCCAUAGC